GACGAACGCUGGCGGCGUGCUUAACACAUGCAAGUCGAACGGAAAGGCCCUGCUUUUGUGGGGUGCUCGAGUGGCGAACGGGUGAGUAACACGUGUGUAACCUGCCCUUGACUUUGGGAUAACUUCAGGAAACUGGGGCUAAUACCGGAUAGGAGCUCCUGCUGCAUGGUGGGGGUUGGAAAGUUUCGGCGGUUGGGGAUGGACUCGCGGCUUAUCAGCUUGUUGGUGGGGUAGUGGCUUACCAAGGCUUUGACGGGUAGCCGGCCUGAGAGGGUGACCGGCCACAAUGGGACUGAGAUACGGCGCAGAAUCCUACGGGAGGCAGCAGUGGGGAAUAUUGCACAAUGGGCGGAAGCCUGAUGCAGCAACGCCGCGUGCGGGAUGACGGCCUUCGGGUUGUGAACCGCUUUCGCCUGUGACGAAGCGUGAGUGACGGUACUGGGUAAAGAAGCACCGGCUAACUACGUG
rnacentral:rRNA from 1 species